rnacentral:rRNA from 1 species
GAGCACGUAGGUGGGUUUGUAAGUCAGAUGUGAAAGCCUUCUGUUCAACGGAAGAAUUGCAUCUGAAACUGCGAGUCUUGAGUGCAGGAGGGGAGAAUGGAACUUCUGGUGAGCGGUGAAAUGCGUAGAUAUCAGAAGGAACGCCGGCGGCGAAAGCGAUUCUCUGGCCUAUUACUGACACUCAGUGUGCGAAAGCUAGGGGAGCAAACGGGAUUAGAUACCCCGGUAGUCCUAGCCGUAAACGAUGGGCACUAAGUAGAGGGG